AUGGUUAGGAAAGAAUGGCAGGAAGAUAUAUAGCUGUCAGUUUAGUUUUAUUCUUUAUGGUUAGUUGUUUUCUUUCUCUCAAGUCUCUCUCUGUGUGCGAUAAGCUUUUUUUCUCUCUCUCUCUCUCUGUGCAUAAAAUUCUGUGUGGUGUCGUAUAUCAGCAAAUAACGUUGUUUCAAUAAAUAUUUUUGCAUGUUGGUGAAUGUUUCCUACCCAUUUUAGAUUGGAUCUUUUGAAUCUAAUUUCAUAGUUUCUCUCAGUCAGGAGUUCGUCUUGUUCGUGGAAUUGUGAAAGGUGUUGAGCCUGAAAAGAUAAUUCUUGAUGAUGGCACAGAGGUUCCAUAUGGGCUCUUAGUAUGGUCCACAGGUGUUGGUCCAUCACCUUUCGUGAAGUCUCUUGAACUUCCAAAAGCUCCGGGUGGCAGGAUUGGUGUGGAUGAGUGGUUAAGAGUUCCUUCAGCAGAAGAUGUGUUCUCGAUUGGUGAUUGCAGUGGCUAUCUAGAAAGUACUGGCAAACCAGUACUUCCAGCUCUUGCUCAGGUUGCAGAGAGGCAAGGAAAGUAUCUAGCAGGUCUUCUGAAUAGAAUUGGUGAAGCUGGGGGAGGGCGUGCUAACAGUGCAAAGGAC